GGGAGAUUUUGGGGGAGGAGUGGAGAAAUCAAUGCUCUUAUGUCCUUGGCUCAAAUCAUGACAGUCUUUCCCCAUUGCUUAAGAAAUCAC